rnacentral:rRNA from 1 species
UACGUAGGGGGCAAGCGUUGUCCGGAAUCAUUGGGCGUAAAGAGCGUGUAGGCGGCCCGAUAAGUCCGCCGUGAAAGUCCAGGGCUCAACCCUGGAAUGCCGGUGGAAACUGUCGGGCUGGAGUCCGGAAGAGGCGAGUGGAAUUCCUGGUGUAGCGGUGAAAUACGCAGAUAUCAGGAAGAACACCCGUGGCGAAGGCGGUUCUCUGGGACGGUACUGACGCUGAGACGCGAAAGCGUGGGGAGCGAACAGG